rnacentral:rRNA from 1 species
GAUGAGCCUUUACGUUUUAGCACGCAGGAUAGUCGAACGGAAUGGAAAGUCCGGCCGUAGCAGGUGAUAGCCCUGUAGACGAAAUUCUGUGUGUGGAACUAAGCGUAAGACAAGUAGGGCGGGACACGUGAAAUCCUGUUUGAAGAUGGGGGGACCAUCCUCCAAGGCUAAAUACUCGUGAUCGACCGAUAGUGAACCAGUACCGUGAGGGAAAGGCGAAAAGAACCCCGGAAGGGGAGUGAAAUAGAUCCUGAAACCGUAUGCAUACAAACAGUAGGAGCCUCCUUGUGGGGUGACUGCGUACCUUUUGUAUAAUGGGUCAGCGACUUACAUUCAGUGGCAAGGUUAACCGAAUAGGGAAGCCGUAGCGAAAGCGAGUCCGAAUAGGGCGAUUUAGUCGCUGGGUGUAGACCCGAAACCAGAUGAUCUAUCCAUGGCCAGGUUGAAGGCACGGUAACACGUGCUGGAGGACCGAACCCACUAAUGUUGAAAAAUUAGGGGAUGAGCUGUGGAUAGGGGUGAAAGGCUAAACAAAUCUGGAAAUAGCUGGUUCUCUCCGAAAACUAUUUAGGUAGUGCCUCAAGUAUUACUGCGGGGGGUAGAGCACUGUUAUAGCUAGGGGGUCAUGGCGACUUACCAAACUAUGGCAAACUCCGAAUACCCGCAAGUACAGCUUGGGAGACAGAGCACCGGGUGCUAACGUCCGGACUCAAGAGGGAAACAACCCAGACCGCCAGCUAAGGUCCCGAAUUAUCGCUAAGUGGGAAACGAAGUGGGAAGGCAUAGACAGUCAGGAGGUUGGCUUAGAAGCAGCCAUCCUUUAAAGAAAGCGUAAUA